CCAAGCCGCCGGAAGGGGAGGGCGCAGCGCUGUGACUGACGGCCCCCAAACCCGGGUGGGGUGGCGGGGCGGCGGGGUGACGGGGCACGAGGCCGGGAUUCCACCGCAGGACUCCGAAGAGGUGCGCCUAUGCUUGGCUGGGGCUGAGGUCACCAAGAGUCCUCUCGGAGGGACGUUACUACACGCGCUGGCGAGGCCCAGGAGUCGUGGUGCGAGGGGUACUAUCUGUGAAACGAGGGCUGCCUGUCCCAGCAGCCAGCUUUGUACAGAGACGUCCCGGAGCCACGAGAGAGUAACGGCUAACCCGGGGGAGGGGGUGGCGAGGGUGAUUCCAGGCACUUUGUGAAGAAACGAGCUAUGGCGAGGGAAGAAUCCACUUUGAAGAGCGGCCCCCGCCCUGCCCGAUACGUUACUUCCGGGGCGGGGCGGGCAGAGGGGCCCGGAUGUGCCGCCGCUUUUUAGUUUCUGAGGCGCCGGCGGUGUUCCUGGUAGCGUCAGCCUCCUGGCUUUUCCUUUUCCUGGACGCUUCAGGGCUCCGCGGCCUGCGCUAGACUGGAGGGUCCGCGUCACUCUCGCCCUCCUGCUUUCCGCGCUCUCACCCGCUCCCGCCUCCUGAGGGCACGACUUGUGGAGGAGCGCGGGCGGCGGGGCGUGAGCGAGCUGCCUCUGCCGCCAUCUUAGAGAAGGCGAGCGUGGGGUGUGCGUGGGCGCGAGUCGGCCUCCCGCGGUGCCGCCGCAGCGUGGCGCGGAGAGCUUUAAAAAAAAAAGUCUGGGGCCGGGCGUGGUGGCUCACGCCUUUAAUCUCAACACUUUGGGAGGCCGAGCGGGUGGAUCACCUGACAUCGGGAGUUCGAGACCAGCCUGACCAACAUGGAGUUACCCCAUCUCUACUAAAAAUACAAAAUUAGCUGGGUGUGGUGGCACAUACCUGUAAUCCCAGCUACUUGGGAAGCUGAGGCAGGAGAAUCGCUUGAACCUGGGAGGCAGAGGUUGCGGUGGGCCGAGAUCGCACCAUUGCACUCCACCCUGGGCAACAAGAGCAAAACUCGGUCUCAAAAAAAAAAAAAUAGUCUGGAAACAAUUCAAAUGUAUAUCAAUAGGAGGAUGGGAAGACAAAUUGUGGGCCCAGCACAAUGACUUAACACCUGUAAUCCCAACACUCUGGGAGGCCAAGCCAUGAGGAUCACUGGAGGCCAGGAGUUUGAGACUAGCCUGAGCAACAUAGCGAGACUCUGUCUUUACAAAAAAAAAUUAAAACUUAGCUGAGCAUGUUGGCACAUGCCUGGAGUCCCAGCUACUUGGGAGGCUGAGGCAAGAGAAUUGCAUGAAUCCAGGAGUUCAAGGUUGCAGUGAGCCGUGAUCACACCACUGUACUUCAGCCUGGGUGAGAGCAAGACCUUGUCUUUAAAAAGUAAAAGAGUAAAACAAAUUGUGAUACAGUCAUACGAUGGAGUAUUAUUGAGCAAGUCAAAGGAAAGGACUGCUGAUACAACACGGACAAAUCUCAAAAACAUUGCAUUUGGCAAAAGAAGCCAGACACAGAGUACAUAGCAUAUGAAUCCAUUUAUAUAAAAUUUAAGAACAGGAAAAAGUAAUCUGUGUUUAGUAUCUUCUUAUGGCAGAGGCAGUAGGUUGGGAUUUUAGUGGAAAGGAUUAUGAGGGAACAUGGUAGGAUGGUGAAAAUGUUCUGCACUGUCUCAGCUGCACUAAUGACAUAUAGCUAUUAAAAUCUAUUAAUUAAAACAAAAUUCAUUUCCACUGUCACAUUAGCUACAUUUUAAAUGUUCAAUAGCCACAUGUGGCUACUGCCUACUAAGUUGGACAGUGCAAAUACAGACUUCUGUUAUCUCAGAAGUUCUACUAGAGAGUUCUAGUCUAGACCUUGUUUUAUGCACAUGUUUACAUUUUUCAAAAUUGUAAUUAAUAUGCAUUGUAUGCCAGUAAUACCUGCCCCCAAACCCUAUAAAUCAUUAAUAGAAUUUUUAUUACUCUAUUUUAAUCUACUAAUUAGCCCAUGUUUUCCAUAAUAUUUUUGUUCAACCCUGGGGAGAAAGGAUAAAUAGUAAAAUUCUUGGCAAAUUUUCAAAUAUGUAAUUGUGACAUACAAUAGAUAGCAUUGAUUUUCCGCUCCAAAAAAUGAGUUCUGCUGCUUUAUAAUUUUGAAUGCAUCUAGAAACAAGAAAUUUCUUUUGAGGGCUUAAAGUGAACUCUAGAUGAAUACAGAAAAAAUUUUUUCUAUUGGAAUCAAGUAUCUUAAACGUGGCGAUCAUACAACCUUCUUCUAAGGUAACACUUAAGAGCGUUUUGGGAGAUUUUGGUGCUAGCUCUAUGACUAGGUUUAGAAAGUCAAAUAAGCUCGGUAGGUAACACUUCAGACUCAAGCCUUUUGGAAGUAGAAGAAAACUAAGUUUGUAAGUGAAGGAUAAAAAGACCUGAAUGAUCUCAAUUCUAAAAUUCUGAUUUUAAUGGAUUUUAAGAGAUGGAAUACCAGGUGAAUUGAUUCAAAAUAUUAAAUAUAUGUGUUUAUAUAGUACUUCAGUGAAAUUAAGAAAAAUUUUUGGUGGAGUAAGUACCUUAAUAAUGUUAAUAAAUAUUUCUACCAGUGUUUUUUAAGACCUUUGUGAACCCCAAGUAGAUUUUUACAAGACAAUGAACUUUAACUGUUAAAGAUUAAUUAUUAUAAAUGAAUCAGCAGUUCAUGUCAAUAAUAUGUGCUGGAAAGUAUUUUCUCAAUUAUUGUCAAUUAUAUAUAAAAAAUGAUUUUAUUUGAUCCAAAUUCUUUAACUGCCAAAUUCUUGUUUUCUUUCUCUCUCUCUCUCUCCCCCUCCCUCUCUCUCCCUCUCCCUCUCUCUCCCUCUCUCUCUGCCCCCUCCCUCUCUCCCCACCUUUCCCUCUCCCUCUGCCUCUCUCUCUUCCUCUCCCUCUCCCUCUCCACUUCCUCCCUCCCCUUCCCUUCCUCCCUUCCUCUACCUUUUUUUUUUCUUAUAAUGUAAUAUGUAGUCUGGAGAAAACAUCUCCCAAGUUCUGUUGGGCCAUUCUCCCUAUUGGAAGUAUACUAAUAGUAUCUGCUCACUGGAACAUGCCAUAUAUGUCACCUGCCCCACAUACUGAUAUCACAAUAAUAUGUAAAACCUUCAUUUAAAUUGUUUUUGAAUGUGUAUAUCAAUUGUUACAGCAUAUGACUGAACUUUUUUCAUCCUUAAAAAUUUUUUUAAGCAAUAUGACACAACCACUAAUGAAGAAAAAUAAAGAUUACUGAUUGACAUUACAU
rnacentral:lncRNA from 10 species